UAAACCAUUAGAAAUUAUCAUAAAAAAAACACAUCAAUAUAUGCAAAAUCCAUCACAAUUGCACCAUACAAGCUUGUAGAAGUAAGUUCUGCAUAAGAGACAUUUGUGAAUUAUGCCAUUUCAACUCAAACCCUGCAAAUUAACAUUCUAGCACAUUAAAGCUCAAUAAAAAUCUGCACAAAGUUGUACUUAUCAGCAAAAGAAAAUAGGCUCCUCAAGUUAUGCCAAUAAAAUGCAGCAUGUGCACAUUGAAUCACACAACCCAAAUAAGUUCAAAACCACUAAAAUGACCCACUUACCAUCAUAUUAACAUGAUAAGCACAGAUAUUUAAAAGAUAUAUGCCCAACCUCAACAAAGAAGCAAAUAGCAUAUGCUGCAGACCCUUUUUGCUGAAAAUUUUUUUCUGCAUAAGCCAAGAAGGGGUCCUGCACAGGAAGCAAUGAAAAUAAAUCAAUCUCAGAAGAGUUAAUGGAUAAAAUAUCAGAUUAAGAGUUACUCCCCAGCAGUGCAACAACCUUCAUCCAUUGAAAUACAUAUAUAAAAGACAAAAUUUGACAAUGUCAAAAAUUGAAUUUGAGAAGAUUUAAGACAAAAACAAAAGUAAUGCAAAUAAAAGUAAAUCAACAAAAGCAAAAUAAAAGAACUUGG
rnacentral:misc_RNA from 1 species